rnacentral:rRNA from 1 species
GGAAGGUCCGGGCGUUAUCCGGAUNUAUUGGGUUUAAAGGGAGCGUAGGCCGGAGAUUAAGCGUGUUGUGAAAUGUAGACGCUCAACGUCUGCACUGCAGCGCGAACUGGUUUCCUUGAGUACGCACAAAGUGGGCGGAAUUCGUGGUGUAGCGGUGAAAUGCUUAGAUAUCACGAAGAACUCCGAUUGCGAAGGCAGCUCACUGGAGCGCAACUGACGCUGAAGCUCGAAAGUGCGGGUAUCGAACAGGAUUAGAUACCCUGGUAGUCCGCGCGGUAAACGAUGGAUGCCCGCCCUUGGGCCGUUAAGGUUCAGGGGCCAAGCGAAAGCGUUAAGCAUCCCACCUGGGGAGU